AUUGAACGCUGGCGGCAGGCCUAACACAUGCAAGUCGAGCGAGCGGCGGACGGGUGAGUAAUGUAUGGGGAUCUGCCUGAUGGCGGGGGCUAACGACGGGAAACGGUAGAUAAUACCGCAUAACACGAGAUGAACCCUGGUGGGAUUAGCUAGUAGGUAGGGUAACGGCAUACCCAGGCGACGAUCCCUAGCUGGUCUGAGAGGGUGAUCAGCCACACUGGGACUGGGACACGGCCCAGACUCCUAAGGGAGGCAGCAGUGGGGAAUAUUGCACAAAGGGCGCAAGCCUGAUUCAGCCAUGCCGGGUGGAUGAAGAAGGCCUUCGGGUUGUAAAGUACUUUCAGUCGGGAAGCGUUACCGACAGAAGAAGCCCCGGCUAACUCCGUGCCAGCAGCCGCGGUAAUUC
rnacentral:rRNA from 1 species